AGGGGGCAAGCGUUGUUCGGAAUUACUGGGCGUAAAGGGCGCGUAGGCGGCCUUCUAAGUCGAACGUGAAAUCCCCGGGCUCAACCCGGGAACUGCGUCCGAUACUGGAUGGCUUGAAUCCGGGAGAGGGAUGCAGAAUUCCAGGUGUAGCGGUGAAAUGCGUAGAUAUCUGGAGGAAUACCGGUGGCGAAGGCGGCAUCCUGGACCGGCAUUGACGCUGAGGAGCGAAAGCUAGGGGAGCAAACGGG
rnacentral:rRNA from 1 species